rnacentral:rRNA from 1 species
AACGAACGCUGGCGGCGUGCCUAACACAUGCAAGUCGAGCGCGAAAGGAGCAAUCCGAGUAGAGCGGCGCACGGGUGCGUAACACGUGGAUAAUCUGCCUCAGGGUUGAGGAUAACCUUCCGAAAGGUUGGCUAAUACUCGGUAAGCUUACGGUGACUUCGGUCGCUGUGAGACAACUAGACCUCUAUUUAUAAGUUUAGGCCCAGCGAUGAUUCCGCGGCCCAUCAGCAAGUUGGCGGGGUAACGGCCCACCAAGGCUACGACGGGUAGCUGGUCUGAGAGGACGAUCAGCCACACUGGAACUGAGACACGGUCCAGACUCCUACGGGAGGCAGCAGUGGGGAAUUUUCCACAAUGGGCGAAAGCCUGAUGGAGCAACGCCGCGUGUGUGAUGAAGGUCUUCGGAUCGUAAAGCACUUUCGACUGGGACGAAAAACCUUUGGCUAACAUCCAGGGGCCUGACGGUACCAGGAGAAGAAGCACCGGCUAACUCUGUGCCAGCCGCCGCGGUAAUAC